rnacentral:rRNA from 1 species
AUUGAACGCUGUCGGCAGGCCUAACACAUGCAAGUCGAGCGGUAGCACAGAGAGCUUGCUCUCGGGUGACGAGCGGCGGACGGGUGAGUAAUGUCUGGGAAACUGCCUGAUGGAGGGGGAUAACUACUGGAAACGGUAGCUAAUACCGCAUAAUGUCGCAAGACCAAAGUGGGGGACCUUCGGGCCUCAUGCCAUCAGAUGUGCCCAGAUGGGAUUAGCUAGUAGGUGGGGUAACGGCUCACCUAGGCGACGAUCCCUAGCUGGUCUGAGAGGAUGACCAGCCACACUGGAACUGAGACACGGUCCAGACUCCUACGGGAGGCAGCAGUGGGGAAUAUUGCACAAUGGGCGCAAGCCUGAUGCAGCCAUGCCGCGUGUGUGAAGAAGGCCUUCGGGUUGUAAAGCACUUUCAGCGGGGAGGAAGGCGGUGAGGUUAAUAACCUCAUCGAUUGACGUUACCCACAGAAGAAGCACCGGCUAACUCCGUGCCAGCAGCCGCGGUAAUACUGAGGGUGCAAGCGUUAAUCGGAAUUACUGGGCGUAAAGCGCACGCAGGCGGUCUGUCAAGUCGGAUGUGAAAUCCCCGGGCUCAACCUGGGAACUGCAUUCGAAACUGGCAGGCUAGAGUCUUGUAGAGGGGGGUAGAAUUCCAGGUGUAGCGGUGAAAUGCGUAGAGAUCUGGAGGAAUACCGGUGGCGAAGGCGGCCCCCUGGACAAAGACUGACGCUCAGGUGCGAAAGCGUGGGGAGCAAACAGGAUUAGAUACCCUGGUAGUCCACGCCGUAAACGAUGUCGAUUUGGAGGUUGUGCCCUUGAGGCGUGGCUUCCGGAGCUAACGCGUUAAAUCGACCGCCUGGGGAGUACGGCCGCAAGGUUAAAACUCAAAUGAAUUGACGGGGGCCCGCACAAGCGGUGGAGCAUGUGGUUUAAUUCGAUGCAACGCGAAGAACCUUACCUGGUCUUGACAUCCACAGAACUUUCCAGAGAUGGAUUGGUGCCUUCGGGAACUGUGAGACAGGUGCCGCAUGGCUGUCGUCAGCUCGUGUUGUGAAAUGUUGGGUUAAGUCCCGCAACGAGCGCAACCCUUAUCCUUUGUUGCCAGCGGUUAGGCCGGGAACUCAAAGGAGACUGCCAGUGAUAAACUGGAGGAAGGUGGGGAUGACGUCAAGUCAUCAUGGCCCUUACGACCAGGGCUACACACGUGCUACAAUGGCAUAUACAAAGAGAAGCGACCUCGCGAGAGCAAGCGGACCUCAUAAAGUAUGUCGUAGUCCGGAUUGGAGUCUGCAACUCGACUCCAUGAAGUCGGAAUCGCUAGUAAUCGUAGAUCAGAAUGCUACGGUGAAUACGUUCCCGGGCAU